rnacentral:rRNA from 1 species
AACGAACGCUGGCGGCAGGCUUAACACAUGCAAGUCGAGCGCAUCCUUCGGGGUGAGCGGCGGACGGGUGAGUAACGCGUGGGAACGUGCCCUCUUCUACGGAAUAGCCUCGGGAAACUGAGAGUAAUGCCGUAUACGCCCGCAAGGGGAAAGAUUUAUCGGAGGAGGAUCGGCCCGCGUUGGAUUAGGUAGUUGGCGGGGUAACGGCCUACCAAGCCGACGAUCCAUAGCUGGUUUGAGAGGAUGAUCAGCCACACUGGGACUGAGACACGGCCCAGACUCCUACGGGAGGCAGCAGUGGGGAAUCUUGGACAAUGGGGGCAACCCUGAUCCAGCCAUGCCGCGUGAUCGAUGAAGGCCUUAGGGUUGUAAAGAUCUUUCAGCUGGGAAGAUAAUGACGGUACCAGCAGAAGAAGCCCCGGCUAACUCCGUG